CCUAAGUUCUGCUUUGUAAUCUUAAAGCUAAGGUUCCAAGCUCUUGAUUUCUCGAGGUUCUUCUCUUUGGCACUUCUACAUGGUCCCCAUAUUGUAUAUUCAGAAUGUUCAUGUGUAGCAAGAAGAUGGCGGCUUUCCCUCAUUCUCCGGGCUUUCUAGCCAGCAUUUGCAAAAGCCGCCGCUGAACCCGGAAGGGUUUCUGUUGUGAUCCAUCCCCCAACUCCCUCCUACACACAGAGCAGUUCGCUCCUGCUAACCACAGCGACAAUCAUAAUAGGAACUACUAGCUGUAUAAAUUUCCUGGGUUUUAUGCUGGUGUCCCAAAGUCACACAUUUCAGUCUCUCCUGCUUGACUUAAUCAGCUCAAGAAGCCAGGAAGAAAGGUCCAGAGGAGGGCCCGCCGUGAGCGAAGGGCGAGGAGGAGAGGAGAGAUCCCCUAGGCGUGGAACUUUUAAAAGGAAACCUAUCAAUCAGGAGAAAACCCACGACAUGGACCCUCAGCGUCAGAACUUCAAGUGAAAACAAACAAACAAAACAAAACAAAACACAUUUGCUCAAUCCUGACCC